UACGUAGGGGGCUAGCGUUGUCCGGAAUCAUUGGGCGUAAAGAGCGUGUAGGCGGCCCGGUAAGUCCGCUGUGAAAGUCCAGGGCUCAACCCUGGGAUGCCGGUGGAUACUGUCGGGCUCGAGUCCGGAAGAGGAGUGUGGAAUUCCUGGUGUAGCGGUGAAAUGCGCAGAUAUCAGGAGGAACACCGGUGGCGAAGGCGGGUUUCUGGGCAGUAACUGACGCUGAGGAGCGAAAGCGUGGGGAGCGAACAGG
rnacentral:rRNA from 1 species